UACGUAGGGAGCAAGCGUUGUCCGGAAUCAUUGGGCGUAAAGCGCGCGUAGGUGGCUUCGUAAGUCCGUUGUGAAAGUCAAAGGCUCAACCUUUGAAUGCCGAUGGAUACUGCGGAGCUAGAGUACGGAAGAGGCGAGUGGAAUUCCUGGUGUAGCGGUGGAAUGCGCAGAUAUCAGGAGGAACACCAAUAGCGAAGGCAGCUCGCUGGGACGUUACUGACACUAAGGCGCGAAAGCGUGGGAGCGAACAGG
rnacentral:rRNA from 1 species